UUGCGCCGGCGAUGGUUCAUUCAAAUUUCUGCCCUAUCAACUUUCGAUGGUAGGGUCUUGGCCUACCAUGGUUUCGACGGGUAACGGGGGAUUAGGGUUCGACUCCGGAGAGGGAGCCUGAGAAACGGCUACCACAUCCAAGGAAGGCAGCAGGCGCGCAAAUUACCCAAUUCCGACACGGAGAGGUAGUGACAAGAAAUAUUGAUGCGGGGCCCUUCGGGUCUUGUAAUCGGAAUGAGUACAAUUUAAAACACUUAACGAGGAACAAUUGGAGGGCAAGUCUGGUGCCAGCAGCCGCGGUAAUUCCAGCUCCAAUAGCGUAUAUUAAAAUUGUUGCAGUUAAAACGCUCGUAGUUGAACUUUGGAUCUGGCUGGCCGGUCCGCCUCACCGCGUGCACUGGUCCGGCCGGGUCUUUCCUCCUGGGGAUCCGCAUGCCCUUUACUGGGCGUGUUGGGGAACCAGGACUUUUACUUUGAAAAAAUUAGAGUGUUCAAAGCAGGCCUUUGCCCGGAUACAUUAGCAUGGAAUAAUAGAAUAGGACGUGCGGUUCUAUUUUGUUGGUUUCUAGAAUCGCCGUAAUGAUUAAUAGGGACGGUUGGGGGUUCUGGUAUUCAAUUGUCAGAGGUGAAAUUCUUGGAUUUAUUGAAGACCAACUGCUGCGAAAGCGUUAACCAAAGACGUUUUCAUUAAUCAGUGAACGAAAGUUAGGGGAUCGAAGACGAUCAGAUACCGUCGUAGUCUUAACCAUAAACUGUGCCAACUGGGGAUCGGACGAUGUUAUCAUCUUGACUCGUUCGGCACCCUACGAGAAAUCAAAGUGAGGUUCUGGGGGGAGUAUGGUCGCAAGGCUGAAACUUAAAGAAAUUGACGGAAGGGCACCACCAGGCGUGGAGCCUGCGGCUUAAUUUGACUCAACACGGGGAAACUCACCAGGUCCAGACACAACUAGGAUUGACAGAUUGAGAGCUCUUUCUUGAUUUUGUGGGUGGUGGUGCAUGGCCGUUCUUAGUUGGUGGAGUGAUUUGUCUGCUUAAUUGCGAUAACGA
rnacentral:rRNA from 1 species